rnacentral:rRNA from 1 species
UAUAAGCAACUAUACGGUGAAACUGCGAAUGGCUCAUUAAAUCAGUUAUCGUUUAUUUGAUAGUACCUUACUACUUGGAUAACCGUGGUAAUUCUAGAGCUAAUACAUGCUAAAAACCCCAACUUCGGAAGGGGUGUAUUUAUUAGAUAAAAAACCAACGCCCUUCGGGGCUCCUUGGUGAUUCAUAAUAACUAAACGAAUCGCAUGGCCUUGCGCCGGCGAUGGUUCAUUCAAAUUUCUGCCCUAUCAACUUUCGAUGGUAGGAUAGUGGCCUACCAUGGUAUCAACGGGUAACGGGGAAUUAGGGUUCUAUUCCGGAGAGGGAGCCUGAGAAACGGCUACCACAUCCAAGGAAGGCAGCAGGCGCGCAAAUUACCCAAUCCCGACACGGGGAGGUAGUGACAAUAAAUACUGAUACAGGGCUCUUUUGGGUCUUGUAAUUGGAAUGAGUACAAUUUAAAUCCCUUAACGAGGAACAAUUGGAGGGCAAGUCUGGUGCCAGCAGCCGCGGUAAUUCCAGCUCCAAUAGCGUAUAUUAAAGUUGUUGCAGUUAAAAAGCUCGUAGUUGAACCUUGGGCCUGGCUGGCCGGUCCGCCUCACCGCGUGUACUGGUCCGGCCGGGCCUUUCCUUCUGGGGAGCCGCAUGCCCUUCACUGGGCGUGUCGGGGAACCAGGACUUUUACUUUGAAAAAAUUAGAGUGUUCAAAGCAGGCCUUUGCUCGAAUACAUUAGCAUGGAAUAAUAGAAUAGGACGUGCGGUUCUAUUUUGUUGGUUUCUAGGACCGCCGUAAUGAUUAAUAGGGAUAGUCGGGGGCAUCAGUAUUCAAUUGUCAGAGGUGAAAUUCUUGGAUUUAUUGAAGACUAACUACUGCGAAAGCAUUUGCCAAGGAUGUUUUCAUUAAUCAGUGAACGAAAGUUAGGGGAUCGAAGACGAUCAGAUACCGUCGUAGUCUUAACCAUAAACUAUGCCGACUAGGGAUCGGGCGAUNNUAUCAUUUUNNNNCNNNUCGGCAC